GGAAUUCGGGCCGCGCACUCCUCCUCCCAGCGUUGGCCCGUGGGACUGGCGGUCCUCCUCCUCCCAUAUCGCCAGUCGUUACAAAUGACGCCCACCGGACCUCCUCCCCCGGUGGGCGUUAUUU
rnacentral:sRNA from 1 species